GAUGAACGCUGGCGGCGUGCCUAAUACAUGCAAGUCGAGCGAACAGACGAGGAGCUUGCUCCUCUGACGUUAGCGGCGGACGGGUGAGUAACACGUGGAUAACCUACCUAUAAGACUGGGAUAACUUCGGGAAACCGGAGCUAAUACCGGAUAAUAUAUUGAACCGCAUGGUUCAAUAGUGAAAGACGGCUUUGCUGUCACUUAUAGAUGGUUCCGGGCCGCAUUAGCUAGUUGGUAAGGUAACGGCUUACCAAGGCAACGAUGCGUAGCCGACCUGAGAGGGUGAUCGGCCACACUGGAACUGAGACACGGUCCAGACUCCUACGGGAGGCAGCAGUAGGGAAUCUUCCGCAAUGGGCGAAAGCCUGACGGAGCAACGCCGCGUGAGUGAUGAAGGUCUUCGGAUCGUAAAGCUCUGUUAUUGGGGAAGAACAAAUGUGUAAGUAACUAUGCACGUCUUGACGGUACCUAAUCAGAAAGCCACGGCUAACUACGUG
rnacentral:rRNA from 1 species